UCAGUUUCUUGUCUUUUAUGCUUGCGUAAAAAUUGAAUUAAUUAAAGUAAUACUUUUAUGAGAAAAGUUUGCAUUGUAUGUAUUUACGAAAACAUGUACCAAUGUAUAUAGACUGUUUACAAUAUUUAUUAUAUUAUAAAGUUCUUAAGAUAUUUUUUUCAAACAGAAAGGAGUUCGAUAUUGUUGUAAUUGGUUUAAAAAGUAGAAAUUCUUAAAAUCACGAUUUGUAAAAAUGUAACGUUGAAUUUCAUGUUGCAGAUUACAGACAGACUAUUUUUGCGAAAGCAUAUCAGAAACUAUCUUCAAAAGGAAAGAAAAAUAAUAAAUACCCCACUUAAAUAGUAAAAAAGACUGAAUAAGAAACACCUGCUGCAAACGAUAUAUUAUUUUUUAGGUUUUCAAUUUAAUUUACCCAGGGGUUAAAUCAGUAAAACAUUUUUUAUUGAAUAUCUAUUUACUUUUGGAUAUGAACAAUACCACGAUGCGUCAAAAAGAUAUGAGACCAGCUCCUGCUGAGAUAGAACUGAAGGGAUACAAGUUCCUGAUCACCGAUAGACCUUCCGACCAAAAUAUUCUUUCUUAUAUUGAGG